AACGAACGCUGGCGGCAGGCUUAACACAUGCAAGUCGAGCGCCCCGCAAGGGGAGCGGCAGACGGGUGAGUAACGCGUGGGAAUCUACCCAUCUCUACGGAAUAACGCAGGGAAACGUGUGCUAAUACCGUAUACGUCCUUCGGGAGAAAGAUUUAUCGGGGAUGGAUGAGCCCGCGUUGGAUUAGCUAGUUGGUGGGGUAAAGGCCUACCAAGGCGACGAUCCAUAGCUGGUCUGAGAGGAUGAUCAGCCACACUGGGACUGAGACACGGCCCAGACUCCUACGGGAGGCAGCAGUGGGGAAUAUUGGACAAUGGGCGCAAGCCUGAUCCAGCCAUGCCGCGUGAGUGAUGAAGGCCCUAGGGUUGUAAAGCUCUUUCACCGGUGAAGAUAAUGACGGUAACCGGAGAAGAAGCCCCGGCUAACUGCGUGCCAGCCGCCGCCGUAACAC
rnacentral:rRNA from 1 species